rnacentral:lncRNA from 1 species
UUUCUUAUUAAAUUGCUUAGUUUAAUAGUCUUCACAAAUUCUCUUUUUCAAAUAUUUUUAAGAAAAUAACUGUACCCCAAUCCCUGUGGAUCGAUACCCGUAAUCACUAUCCUACCAGAUAUGUAAUACCCCCGAAAAAAAAAGAAGAGAGAGAUGGACGGGCCGGUCCGAAAAGACCGGGCCCAUCCAUCUAUUACGAUCGUACCCUAGGCACGAUCGUGGAAGAGGGGAGUGCAAGGUGGGGGCGGCGGCGUUAAGGGAGGUCGAUCACCGGAGGAGGCCGACCGUCGGGGAAGAUCGAUCACCGGAGAAGGGAGGUUCCAAGAUCCGGCCGGUGGUUGAGGAAGCGAUAAAGCCUUCCCCUUCGGCGAAGACCUCUCCCACAAAUCCGGUGAAGCUCACGGAUUUCUCCACCGAUUCCUCGCCGGAAGGGCCGCCGGAGCACCCCCACCGGACCGAGGUAAGCAUGGUUUCUUCCUUUGUGUUUUAUUUUCUGGAUUUGGGGCGGCGUGGGUGAAGAUUUGGCCGGUGAAAUCGUCGAAGAAGGAUCCGAAACAGGGGUACCCUGUUUCGGCUUCUCUUUUCGGAUCUUGCCGCCGGCCGCCGGCCGUCGGAUUGGCCGGGAUUCAUGGCGGUGGGGUUGGUCGGGGUAUGCGAGGGCCGGAGUUGAGUUCUAGGUCUUUGGUUGGAGAUGGGAGAUGGCGGAUC